rnacentral:rRNA from 1 species
GUGUCAGCAGCCGCGGUAAAACGUAGGAGGCGAGCGUUAUCCGGAUUCACUGGGCGUAAAGCGCAUGUAGGUGGUUCGUCAAGUCGAGUGUUAAAGCCCCUGGCUCAACUGGGGGAGGUCAUUCGAAACGGAUGGACUUGAGGGUAGCAGAGGAGAGUGGAACUCCCGGUGUAGCGGUGGAAUGCGUAGAGAUCGGGAAGAACACCAGUGGCGAAGGCGACUCUCUGGGCUACAUCUGACACUGAGAUGCGAAAGCGUGGGUAGCAAACGGGAUUAGAAACCCCUGUAGUCC